rnacentral:tRNA from 1 species
GUCUUCAUGGCUUAGUUGGUUAAAGCGUCGGUCUCAUAUUUACGCAAGGUAUGACCCACUCUUCAGAUUUGGGAUAUCCGAAGGUCGCGAGUUCGACUCUCGCUGAGGACA